rnacentral:rRNA from 1 species
UCUUGGUCAUUUAUAGGAAGUAAAAGUCGUAACAAGGUUUCCGUAGGUGAACCUGCGGAAGGAUCAUUACUGAAGUAUCAUAAUGGGUUGUUGCUGGUCUUCGUGCACACUCGUUAUUCUUCAUUUCUCCAUUCUUUGUGCAUCACUCGUGUGGAUCUUUGUCUGAGAUAUAUUUCAGACGAUUGGGACUGCUUUGCAAAGUUACUAUUUGUGGGGCUUUCCCUGUAUCUAUCUACAUGUUUUUCACAUACACACCAUGUUUAGAAGGAAAAUAAAGUUGAAUUUUUAUACAACUUUCAGCAACGGAUCUCUUGGCUCUCGCAUCGAUGAAGAACGCAGCGAAAUGCGAUAAGUAAUGUGAAUUGCAGAAUUCAGUGAAUCAUCGAAUCUUUGAACGCAUCUUGCGCUCCUUGGUAUUCUGAGGAGCAUGCCUGUUUGAGUGUCAUUAAUAUCUCAACCACAUCCAUUUUAUUUUGGCAUGUGGCUUGGACUUGGAGGGAUGUGCAGGCUACAAGACAGUCUGCUCCUCUGAAAAAUAUAAGCGGUACCUAUAUUGGAACUUUGGCUAGGUGUGAUACAUAUCUGCAUCUAAUUGAUCCAAGUAAGGUCAUACUGCUAAUUAUUACAACUUGAUAAACUUGACCUCAAAUCAGGUAGGACCACCCGCUGAACUUAAGCAUAUCAAUAAGCGGAGGAA